CUCGAGAAAUUGCCCUUUAAGGGUUGUAUGAAACUGGGUAGCUCCCGCAAUGUCUUAUCCAUCAAUCCCUUGAUUGAAAGAUGGGAAGCUGGAUAUUCAGAUUUCUAGUUCAAUAGACUUCGACUUUCCUCUUUUCCAGCAACCACUUUUGCAUCUUCUUUUACCUUUCAAUUCUAUCUUCCUUUUACCGCCGACUGCUGAGAUUGCUCCCUUUCGCUCAACAAGAAUUCUCACUCCCUCGAAACGACCAUGGCAAAUUAUCUCUCCCUGCCUAUCCUCCAUGAACUUGUGCGAUUCGCCGAGGAGGACGCAUUGUAUGAAGAUUCGAUUAAGGCGAUGGCCUCAGCCAUUCCCAACUAUUAUUUUCCAGUGACAAAUGGUUUUACAGUUGUCCCAGAGCAAAAUCAAUAGGGGAAUAUUGUGGAUUUUAUCAUCCUCUGAAUCCAACGACGGUUCCCCGGUGACCACAGUGUCAAUGAUUACACUGUAACUGAAGCCAAAAGAGAUACUGACUCCAUCACAGCUGCAUUGAAGCAGCUUGAGAAUGUUCUUGAACAGACCAAUACUGAAAUUGACAGGAGUCGAGCAAUGCUUAUUCAUUGAUUCCAUCUCUCUCUCUUUUUUUUUUUUUUUUAGAGAUAGUGUUGACUGCUUCUCAGCAAUUUAAUGAGUAUUUCAAACAGAAGACUGUACAAUUGACUGAGCAAGGGGUUUUUUAGUUCAGUGAUGAUGAGACAGACUACUAUAGUUUUUCUCCUUACUGUAC
rnacentral:sRNA from 1 species